AAAUUGAAGAGUUUGAUCAUGGCUCAGAUUGAACGCUGGCGGCAGGCCUAACACAUGCAAGUCGAACGGUAACAGGAAGCAGCUUGCUGCUUUGCUGACGAGUGGCGGACGGGUGAGUAAUGUCUGGGAAACUGCCUGAUGGAGGGGGAUAACUACUGGAAACGGUGGCUAAUACCGCAUAACGUCGCAAGACCAAAGAGGGGGACCUUCGGGCCUCUUGCCAUCAGAUGUGCCCAGAUGGGAUUAGCUUGUUGGUGAGGUAACGGCUCACCAAGGCGACGAUCCCUAGCUGGUCUGAGAGGAUGACUAGCCACACUGGAACUGAGACACGGUCCAGACUCCUACGGGAGGCAGCAGUGGGGAAUAUUGCACAAUGGGCGCAAGCCUGAUGCAGCCAUGCCGCGUGUAUGAAGAAGGCCUUCGGGUUGUAAAGUACUUUCAGCGGGGAGGAAGGUGUUGUGGUUAAUAAC
rnacentral:rRNA from 5 species